AGAAAAGAAAAGUCGAAUCCUUGUAAAGGGUACGGGGGAUCCAAUCUUUUGGGGUGAAUCCAAUGUAUUUGGAAGGCUGUCUUCAGCCUAACCCGUCAGUUAACCUCGGAGACAGAGAGGAGCUUUUAU
rnacentral:sRNA from 2 species